UACGGAGGGUGCAAACGUUGCUCGGAAUUAUUGGGCGUAAAGCGCACGUAGGCGGUCUAGCAAGUCGGGUGUGAAAGCCCUCAGCUUAACUGAGGAAGUGCAUUCGAAACUACUAGGCUUGAGUACUGAAGAGGACGACGGAAUUCCCGGUGUAGAGGUGAAAUUCGUAGAUAUCUGGAGGAACACCGGUGGCGAAGGCGGCGUUCUGGACUGCAACUGACACUGAGAGACGAAAGCCAGGGGAGCAAACGGG
rnacentral:rRNA from 1 species